rnacentral:rRNA from 1 species
GACGAACGCUGGCGGCGUGCUUAACACAUGCAAGUCGAACGGAAAGGCCCCCUUGUGGGGUACUCGAGUGGCGAACGAGUGAGUAACACCUGAGUAACCUACUCUUGACUUUGGGAUAACUUCAGGAAAAUGGGGCUAAUACCGGCUAGGAGCUCCUGCUGCAUGGUGGGGGUUGGAAAGUUUCGGCGGUUGGGGAUGGACUCGCGGCUUAUCAGCUUGUUGGUGGGGUAGUGGCUCACCAAGGCUUUGACGGGUAGCCGGCCUGAGAGGGUGACCGGCCACAUUGGGACUGAGAUACGGCCCAGACUCCUACGGGAGGCAGCAGUGGGGAAUAUUGCACAAUGGGCGGAAGCCUGAUGCAGCAACGCCGCGUGCGGGAUGACGGCCUUCGGGUUGUAAACCGCUUUCGCCUGUGACGAAGCGUGAGUGACGGUAAUGGGUAAAGAAGCACCGGCUAACUACGUG